UACAGAGACAGACAGGUUGAUCAAUGGAAUAGAAUUGAAGACCCAAUUUCUGAAAUGUCUCUACAUAUACUUCUGUCAUUUUGUACAUAGUCCUGAAAAUGCCAGUCAAUCCCAAAAGCCAAUGAAGGGGAGCUAUGUUCUGUAGUAUCAAAUAUUCAGAUAAAAUGUACAUCUUCACUUAAAACUAAGGAAGUCCAUCCAUCUUCUUCUUAUAGAAGACUGUUUUCAUCUUUAAUAAGUGGUAAGUUUUUAUAUAGAAUUAGGAGUUUUUAAGUGAAUGUUUUGUGAGCUAUUAAAAGUAAAUAUCUGAUAUAUGCCUGGGGUUGUCUAAAAAUGUCUCUGGUGAUAUGGGAGUUACAUGUGGAAAAGUUUAAGAAGUCUUCUUUUAGCUUCUUUUAGGCUGCUAGUUUUUGAUGUGUGGUUCCAGGACCAGAAACAAUAAUCAACGAAUCCUGACAAAAUUGUUAAAAAAUUUAAAAAUAAAUGAACAAAUCCCCAUUCACUAUCCCUGCAGGUAAUUGUGAAGCAGACAAUAGUUUGAGAAUUAUUGGUGUAUAGAGAGUGAAAUAAAUCCUCUUCUUGAUACCUACUAAGUGACGGAGCAGAGAUUCAAAUUUCCCUCUGUUUCUAACUAAACAUCUGGGAUCUUCCUUUGUGAGCUACAUGUGAAAAUCAGUGUUAACCAUACAUAACUCCUAAAAAAGGGAUGGGGAAUUAAAUCGAAAAGAGAAAAAUGUUUAUGAUAUAUUAUCCAUAAACCGUGCAGUGACACAAAGACAAUAUUCUUCAAAGCUGGCUCUCAAUCAGCCUCCGCGAUUAAGCUGUAUCCACUUUCAAAAUUGCUGUCAUCAGAAUCAUUUCACAAUCCCUUCUGACUGAGGGAAAGGAUUAUGGCACCUUCUGUUCCCUCCCAUUUUGCAAUUAAGUCUCCCCUCCCCUUGCUAUUCUGUUUUAAUUUAAAUGCUAUUAAGAGUAUCCUCAAAGAUCAGUGGGUCAGAGAGAGAACUUGUCAACCUUAGGCUACAUUUGGAAGGAAUGUUAGAAAUGAACACACAUACACCGCAUCCAGACAUCCCCAAGGUCAGGGGAGGGAAAUGUUCAGGAAGUGGCUGGCUGGCAGAAUUCAGACCUUCUGUGUUGUAGCUUGGUGUGUUUGUUGCUAACAGUGAGAUGUAUAACAGGGGAAGACAAAGUGGCAUUGAGUCACCUUUCUUUCUGACCAUGCAUUUCACCUAGCCUGUCUUCUUGCCAGCACACAUGAGCAAGUACAAACUGCCUGCAGGACUUGGAAGGGAAAUUCCUUGCUCAAAUGUUGCCAGCAGACAACAAAAUUCAUUCUUGGAUCUUUUAUUUUUCAUAUUAUCAAAGUGAUUUUGGUACUUAGACGUAGAAAUGAACGAGGGUCCAUAAUAUAAUGAAAGGAAUUGGUUCAGAACCGAGUGUCUUUUUCCCACUGAUGUUAAUCAGUUAAAAUGGAUAAUUAACUCUCAAAUUAAUCCCUGAGAAAAUAAGGGAACAUCUGUUGAAGUUUUAGUCUGGGGCGUUUUGUAAAAGAGCUUGGCAGUGGGUUCAUGUUGGGCUAGGGAAAUUUUGAGCUCCACCUCCGUUUUUUUCUCUCCUUUUGAAAGUUUGUCAAAUAAUAUACACUCCACAUGAAGGUGUUACAGCCUCCCCUGAAUUGGCUCACUGAUGUGUGAAGGGUGCCAUUGCUGAAUAGUGAUGGAAACUUCCAGACUAUUAAAUUCAAGUGCCUUAGUAAUAGCGACAGAAAUGUCUCCCAGUGUGAUGAUGUAAUAUAAAAAAGUUACACUUCCAAAAUACCCAGAAGAAGCUGGACUGCACCUUUACCUUGCUAUAAAAGAGUUAUAAAAUACAAUGCCAAUGGACCUACAUCUGAAGAUCUCAAUUGGCUUUGAGAUUCUAGAACUGGCCAACCUACUAAUCCAAAAUGGUUCAGACAGCUCCUCCCUACCUCAUGGUCAGGUUUCAUUUAUAGCUAGAUCAAAGAAUGGAAGGGAGGCAGUUAGACCACAUUCAAUGGUAGCUUGUGCCUAUGUUAUUCCACAUGGCUUCAGCAGUUGAUAAUGUGUGACUGGCUGAGCUCCUGCUACCUGUCCCAUGAGCAUGUUGUAAGCAGCUUACACAUCAAGCAAGGUUAUAGAAACCUUUAGGCCAAGCUUAAAAUAUGUGCAGAGUCAGCUUUAGACAAAACAAUACUCAAUUCAACGUAAGCAUACAUGUAACAUAAUUAAGAAUAGUAAUAAGAGAUACAGGGUGAGGUUUGAUUGGUUAUCUAAACCUCACCUCUUCUGACCCUUUGUAGUAUAUGCCCAUUUAAAAUAAACUUCUUUAUGAGCAUGGGUGUUUUGCCUGGAUGUAUAGCUUUACCUCACUUGUAUUCCUGGUGCUUCCAAAGGCCAGAAGAGGGCACCAGAUCCCUGGGAAUGGAGUUAGAGCCAGUUGUGACCCACCUUGUAUGUGUGCUGGGAGUUGGACAUGGGUCUUCUGAAAGAGCAGCAAGUGCUCUUAAGCCGCUGAGCCUUCACUCUCUCUCUGGGUUGCAGAUGCCCAUUUUCAUGUAUGUGUCUGAGCUUUCUCACAUCUUAAGACUUGCUCAGAAGGAUUUUUGUUUAUCUAUGAGUUUGGUGAGAACACAGUCUCAUAGGCUCUACCUUGUACCAUCUGACAUGGGACCCAGAAAUCCGUUUUAAUAAACUGUAAAUUUCUCUGGGGUACACUCUGGUUUAAGAAGGCACUUCUCUAUGGUGUGGGUAGAGGGGGGAGAUUGCAUUCUAUUCUGGUCUUUUUUGCCAGUGAUUGGCUUAUAACAUGCCCUUAACCCAGUUCUUGAAGUGACCCAAAGGGAUUUCUUCUGCAAAGAUACUGUGAAAAGCUCUUUUGCUCUUUAAAGGAUGGAAAAAAGUAAGAGGUAGGAAACCAGGGACCCUAGAAUUAAGAUCCCAGCAGAAAAAUCUACCCUCACAGUGAAAUGUCCUUCCCUGGGGUACCUGGAACCUGGGGGAGCACUCAUCUCCCAGGGCACAGACUCCCCCCCCCCAGAGCUAGUAACUGAGACAUGGGGCCAAAUCCAUAUAUGCACUACUUGUUUGAUCACUUUUGUAAAACGUAGCCCUUGUAUAGGCAAGGUGAUUACAAUUUAGCUGCGCCACUUUGCUACAACUGUAAGUCAAUUAAAUUUUUCUUAAAUUUGUGACUUUUUCUUAUAAAUAACAAGUAUUAAGAAUUAGAAGAGCUGGAAUUUUCAGUUACCAUAGAGUCCCACAUUGAGUUUGUACAUAGGUACAUUAAAAUAUGUCUGGGCCCCACACUGUGACAAUGAAUACCACAUAGUCAUGGUAAAGGGUGACAAGUUAAAAAAUGUGGGACCUGCAAAAUGGUUCAGGCUCUUGAUGCCAAGGGUGGUUAUUUGUUCCCCACUGGAACCCACAGUGGGGAAGGGGAAGGAGAGAACUGACUCCUGGAAGUUGUUCUCUGAUUUUAGAGGUCUGCCAUGGUACACUCACUUCUACAGGCAUGUGCAUACUUGAAUACAGCUUUGUGUGUGUGUGUGUGUGUGUGUGUGUGUGUGUGUGUGUGUGUAUGUGUGUGUGUGCGCGCGCGUGUGUGUGUGUCUGUACAUGUGUAUGAGCAUGCACACACACACAUGCACACACUCUUUAAAAGAGUGUUCUAAUUAGAUUUAAAGUCACUCUACCUCAUGCUGAAAGCACUUAAAAACAAAGUUAAAAGCCCUUGACUAACACAUUGAGUGUUUGUUUUAUUUCUAAUGCUUAAAGCCCCAAAGUGGUACACUUGAUCAUGCCAGACCAUUCAAGUUAAUCUCACGGGGCAGUCAUCAUUUACCAUAGAGCCUGAGAAGAAGAAACUCACCCAACUCAUUGCUCUUUUGUAGAAUUUAUGAGAAACCUUCUGAAAAAAGGGUGUGGCCCAACUUUUAAAAAAUUCUGUACAGUUAAUCACACUCCCCAUGGUGCUGACUACCAUUAAAUACUAACUAUUCUUCUGGUAAUACAUGUGUGAAGGAAUAUAAAUAUAAUUAUCGAGUUACCUAAUUGACAUUUAACUUGCCAGCUUAAGCCUACAGGUAUGGGAAAGGGGAUUUGGAGAAUUUCUGGCUCUUAAGUGAAGUUCCCUGUGUAUUUCUUUGAAAAGCAGCUUUUAUUUUUUGUUAAUCUGCAUAGCCACUGUUUCUAAAGCAAUGUCUCACAAAUGGGAUGGAAGUAUUUCAGAGCAAUAAAAAGCAUUUGUAUAUUUACACACAUAUUCCAUAGGCAAUAUUUUCUAAUAUUAUAAAUGACCUCUAGACUUUUAAAUAACACAUCUUUUUAUAUUUCCCCCUCGCAUUUAUUCUAGUAUGCAUUUGUGAUAUAUAUUCUUUAACAUUUAACUACUAUUUCAAUUUUCAUUUUGAGAUUGUCGACUGGCGUAGUAAUUUAUUUUUAGAUGAACCAUUUUCUGAAGAUUGACAGAUAUUUUGUGGCUGGAAAAGGAUUGCAUUUUUAUGAGAUGUGUAAAUUUAAAUUUUUAAAACAAUAUAUCUACCCCCUAAAAUAUGACUUAAAGUAUUCUUGAUCUGUAACUUGUAUUGAUUCUCAAUGACUCGAGUAUAAUGUUACCUUCUCAGAAAAAGUCCACCUGACAGUUGCAGGUAGAAUUCGAUGCUCCUUCUCCUGGGAUUCCUCUGUAUCUUUACUUUGGCUCUGAAUUAAAAUCUGAAUUUUUGUGUGCAUAUCUUCCUACACUGUAAAAUGAUAAACUUCUCCAUUAUGUGUACCACAUUCCCCACUUGAAUACUAUACCGUCUUACCUGUCAGUGUUCUGCAGAUACUCCUCAGAGACCAGAGUGAAGAAGAGGAAAGCAAGGGAAGAAGAGGGGUACAAAGAAGGAAGAAAGUAGCCAGGAGGAAGGGAAGAAGGCAGGGAGAAGAUAAGGAUGCAGGGAAGUGAGCAGAACAAUAAUAUAUAUAUUGAAUUUGGUCAUAUGCUGGCACUCAGCAAAGGCUUGUUUCUAUAGUUAGGAAAUGCUGUCACCCAGACCUUAAAAAAAUUGACUUUGGGGUGCUAAAUAAAGAAUGCACAGUUUGGAAAGAAUAAUUAUAGCUAGCACUGAUGUGGUGACUCUCUCUACCUGGCCCUUUCCCAAGCUCUCUAGUGGGUAUAUAGGGGGCUGGAAGUAGGAGGGUGUAAACUCAUUUAAUCCUUAUAACAACUCUAGUAGGCGGAUACUAUUAAUUGUCAUUUCUCUUGCAGAUGCUGAGGUUAAGGGACUAAAAUGAUGAAUAUCUUUCCCAAGGACAGUGGUUAGAGUAGCAGACCUGCUGUAUUAACAUCAGGGGGCAAACUCUGUUAGACCUCUGAUGUUUAUCACCUGCAAAUGCAUGCACACAAGGACGCUUCAUGCUACGUUUUAAAGGUUAAAACCUUUGAAAUUUGAACGUGUUUUAUGGGAUGACAUAGUUUGUACAUUACAGUUAUAAGGCAGCAGCAAUCUAUAUUUGGCGUCACGACAACAUGAAGAACUGUAUUAAAGGGCUGCAGUUUGGGGAAUGUUAAGAGUCACCGCUCUAGAGGAACUGGGACACUCUUCAGUGUGGUGGAACUCUUUCAUUAUCCUCUCCAGCACUGAAUGCAUCCAGGAAAGCCCCAUUUAGUGUGGAAAGCAUGAAGACUUUCUUAUGGGGAUCAGUGGCCACAGAGAGUCUGAGAAGAGCUGAGAGAAGAAAAGAAUUAGUAGAAUUCUCAAGUGGCUUAAGGUUUUCUAUCUGGGGAGUCAAAGCAAACCUCUCAGACUGGGACAUGUGCUCUCAGCUGGCCUGUGGUUGUAGUUCCUAGGGUAAAGAGGUGUUACCAUAGCAAGGAGUUUAGGACUGCCAGAGACAUCCUCUGCUUAUUGUCCUGGGAAGAGGCACAUGCUAUAGUCUUUAAAGGACUCUUUCCUCAUUUUUGCUGUUUUGAGACAGGGUUUCACUAUGUAGUCCAGGCUGGCUCCUGGCUCACAGUAUAGAUCAGGCUUUUCUUGAUCUUUUCCUGUGUCAGCUUAACCAGGGCUGGGAUUACAGGCAUGUACUCCAUGUCCUGUCACCUACUUAUCUCUAUAACCAACUCCUGAGGUCUCACUCUGUGUAUAGAAAAGUUCCAUUAGUCAAUGGACAAUCACUUUCAUUUUGCCCUGAGUUACAGUGUGGAUUCAUGUCAUCAGUAACUCCUGGGAACAGAACUGGACCUGCUCCCAUUCUACUCUUCUUCUGCUGCCUCAUGUUAGGUUUCGUUCAGGGAUGAUCUCCUGUGUGUCAUCUUGGGAGGACGCCCAUUCCUUGCUUCUUGCCUCAGUCUCCUAAGUACCGAGAUUCCAGGAGUGAGCCAUCACACACAGGUUAAGGCUUUGUAAGUAGAGAGAAAAAGUUGCUUCCGAGAAGCAUGACUGUGACAGCCAUUUUAUCCAGGUUGGUUGCAUCCAGAAAGAGUUGUAAGAGGAAGGAAGCUGUUCACCUGCCAAUCACACCCAGGGUUCCUGAGUGAAGGGCUUGGGUGAGGCUAGAGUGUGUGGCUGAAGCUAAGGAGAAGUACUGGGGCAAGACAGGCCAUCAUACAGGUUAUCACAUAGCCUUUUCUGAGACGCCGUUUUGUUACCCUCCCGUAUUCAUUGACACAUAAGAGAGAUGCUGAAUGCUGGAGGUCUGUGACUGAAUCAACCCAGGGGCUUUUCUUCUCGUUGUUCACUUGACAACCACUUAGUAACAAUCUCCUAUGUGCAUCCAGGCAUUUGGAUGGAUAAGGGCAGGCAUGAGGCUGAAUAGGUGACAUAAAGACUAACAAACAUAUAUUUAUUUAAAAUUCUACUUUUGACUCUUUCAUAACUGAUCAACUAUGGAAAGAAGCAGCAAGUGGUUGAAUUUCCUGGGCAUGAUCCCACAGUCUCCCAAAGGUGGUAAUUCCGUCUACACAGCAAACGAUUUACUUAAGGAAUUGCUGAUCCUAAGAAAGCAGUGCUACAAGAGAAAAGCAUAAUUACUGUUGGCCAAAGAAUGAACUUUUACAGCAUGGUAUCUGAAUAACUCGGCACACCAAGGUCUUCCAAAUGGCCAGGGAAUGCAUGCUCCAAAUGACUCAAGUGCAUGUAAUGGCUGUGAGCACAUGUUCCACGUGACCACUAAGUAUGUGCUAUUCCUGGACAAAAGGAUCCAUUCAGCAUGAAAGUAGCAUGAUACGUUUUAAGGGUAUGAAAAUUCACUGGUGAAAGCUUCAGAUUCUACAGCGUAAUUCACCAUCAUGAAAUUGCAUCUUGUGCUGUUUUGAUGUGUUGGCAAAGAGUGGCAAAGAGGAGUAUCCCUGAUAGCCCAGGAAGACCAGGGAUAUGUCUUCUUCUAAAAUGUUUUUAGAUCUGAGACUAUAAAGCAAUGCAUCAUGGCCAACAGAAUGCAGAGUAGAUAUGAAAAUCCAGCAUCUAUCAAGCACCGAAAAGAUUUGUAAAAAUGUCCUCUUCAUGAGUUACUUUUGAUAAACCUUUAUACUAUACAUUAGUCAGUUCUAGUUUCAAAAAUGAUAAAUAUCACUUCAUGUAACCCAUCUAUUUAAAUAAACUCUUUGAAGUCAUUUUUAAUUUUAAAACCUCUUCUGGAAUGCUGAGACUCAACGUUUUGAAAUCUGCUUGGUUAAUAAACUUUCUUCCUCUCUAGGGCAGGGUCUUGCUACCUGGCCUAGGCUGGCUUCCUCUAGUCCUAGCCAUUGAGUGUUAGGGUUUCAGAUAUGCUCAGUUUUAGACAGGUUAACCUACAAUUCUGUGUAGAUGACAGGAAAGUUUUCCUUAAAUGAAAUGACAGAGGGUGGUUGCCAGAGCAGGGCAGACGGUUGCUGAUGAUUUUUAAUUUUUUUUGUCUCCCCAACCCCAUUUUGGGGAGUUACCUGAAGAUCUCCUCCAUGCUACACCAGGGCUCUACUAUUGAUCCCUUGGCCCUUGAGACAAGGUCAUUUUUAUGCAUGUUAGACUGGCCUUGAAGUGGAAAUCUUCAUGUCUCUCCAGUGCUGGGUUUACAAGUAUGCCACCAUGACUGCCUACCUGGUUGGGUGAAUGUUAAGAAUAAAUACAACUUAUUUGCAUUUAUAUGUUUAUUUUCCCCAUGGAACGUACCCAAUAGAUUAAUUUUUAGAGGGUUCCAGCUGCAUUGUACCUCAUUCAUAGACUGUGAAAGUGACUGAGAAGUUAGUAGCUAGUGCUUCUAUUUAAUGAACAAAAUGGUGUGGCAAGUGUUAUGCUUAGCCUCUGAUGGUACAGGAUAUCUUACUUGUAAAAUUCUUAUUUCAGUUAAAUAUACUUGUGCAGGAAGACAUGUGGAUAUACUGGACCAGAAUGAAAAUUAUUUAUACAUUGUAUCAUAGGUUUUUCCUGAGCAGUUUAAAGCCUUGUAGGAGAGAACAGAGCUUUCACCGACUCUGCCCUGGAGUCUGACCUCUGGUAUCUUCAUUCACAGCAGAAUGGCUCUUGUCCCCAAAGCCUUUCUUUGAUUUCUUACACAAUUGCUUCUUCAUCUUUUUGGCUUCUCCACACUGAAUACAGUUUAAUGCAACUUGGAUUGCCUUGCAGCUCUUCUCUUUCCUCUUUGUUAUUCACUGUUCCAUUUCCAUCUGUCCAUGUAGUGUGGGUUUUUCCACUUUCUCAGACACACCUUUUCUCAGGCACAAUGUGUUCUGGGUUAAUAAAAUGAUUUGAGUAUGCCCCCCUUUUUUCUGUGGAACUAAUUUGUAGUCUAUGAUCUGAAAUAUCCCUUCUCUAGGGACUCAUGCCUCUCCCCUUACCUGUUAUCAUUGAAGAUUACCCUAGGCUACACAGUAGAUUUGGGGGAAAUACUAGCUCUUUUAGUGAGAUGUUCAUAAUCAUUAACUAUUUAUUAUAACAGCUGCCAUGUGGACUAAAUGACCCAGGUCUUAUAUAAUGUAAGAAAAUGUGUGGAACCAAACCCAGUUCUGUAAAUUGAAAUAUGAAUAAAACACACUGUAUGAGAAUUGCAAAGAAGUAAUAAAAAUGAGACAAAGCUCUAACUCUAUGUAUCAAAUCUCAAGGACUAUGUAAUUCCCAGGUAGAGCAUGAGAACAAAUAGUACUUAGGGUGAGUAUUUCAAUCUUGGUUGAAAUUCAAAGGACUCUUCUUCCUGGAUACAGCCAACAGGAACAUUUUCAGUGUGGUGAAAGUCUUUAUCCAAGUGAGGACUAUAUUCAACAAUACCAAGAUUGCAUUUCAAGGGUUAAAUGUCAUUCUUUUUCUUAAGCAUAUAUUUUGAAAUAUCAUCCUUUGUAGCCAAGUUCUGCACAUCUACUCUUUUCAGCUUCGUUGCGGCAGUCCUGCUCAUGAAUUGCUCAGCCUCGAGAACUCUAUGUCAAUGUUUUGCCAUAUCCAAGGACUUAGUGAUGCAUCAUCUGCAGGAUGCAUCAUGUCUGUAGGAUGAUCAUGUUGGCAACAAAUGUAGAGCUAUAGAAAAGAAGAAGGCAAAUUUUCCUUAUGUCACACAUGAAGUAUUAUUUAUUGUUUUACUAUCUCUUUUCCAAAAAUUGGAGAACAAACAGCAAGCCCAAAGCCCUGCAUCAGUCCACCAUGCUGUCAAAAUUUCCAUUGUGGCCCAGUAUGGAAGGAGAGGCUAGGAAGCCAGUAUCAGUUCAUGGAAAAGUCAGUAUUAUUAUUUUUUUAAAGGGGCUCUAAAAGAUAAAAUCUAAGAAGACUGAAAUACUACAUUGAUAAUUUGUAUGGCUGUACUAUAAGCAUAGUUAGGCCCAAUUUAUUAUGAUAGUUUUCAUGCCUAUUUAUUAUUUCCUGCCAUAGAAGUCUGGAAAAUUAUACAUAUAACACAAAGAUUUGGUUUCAUAUGACUUUCUGACCUUUAACCUUACAGAUUUUCUAGAAAGAACAUAUUUAUUGUGUCUUAUAUUAGUCAACGUUAGCAUCAACGGAUAAAACUGGGGUUGGUGGUAUACACUGAUAACCUCAACAUUUGAGAGCUGAGGCAGAAGGAUGGCAAGUUCACAGUUAGCCUGUAUAAUACAAGAUCAUGUCAUUAAAAAGCAAAAAGAAGCAAGAACAACAAAGAAACCCAGUCAUGACAAUGAAUAGGACCCAGCAGCACCGCUCUGUUCAAGUCCCCUCAUCUUUCUAUAGUCCAUUCAUUUCUUGUCUUGUCCUACAGCUGCCUGCUGUGGGCCAUUUCCCCUAAGGAAAAUGAGUGUAACCAUAUUUUCAAUGUACCAAACGUCCACCCUAUCUACUCCUUUGAUAAUAUAGGCGAGGUUGAUGACCUGCCUCCCGAGAGCUCUGUCUAUAGAGAUAUUCAGUAAUUAACCAGCAGAAAAAAUCCUGAUGACUAUCUGAACCAACAGACCCCAGAUGAUUACCACACAAGCAGCCAGUUGAGGCUCUCAGUAUAAAGUACACAAGCUACAGCCCUGCUCUGAACAUCCAGAACAGGGAGAGCAAGUCAGCUGCAGUCUGGGAGGCACAAGGAUGAGACCAGUUCCUGGAGAGGCCAGACUGGAGGAGGACCAUGAGAUGACUGGUUUAGUGCUUGUGCCUCACUGAUGCUUACGUGAGAAUCUUCUAGAGCACAGUUUCUCUUCUGUCCUUGUCACCAGUAUGAACUUUACAGCUUAUAUAAUGUCACUUCUUCAUAGAACAAUUUGAAUAAAGAACCUACUCCCUAAAUACCACAAUGAAAAAGACCGAUAUCCUAAAACGGGAAAGGGAAAGGGAAAGCAGAUCCAAGCCACUCCAUCACUGUGUUGCCUGUUAACACUGACUCAUGUGGUAUGAAGGACAGUCAUUUCUCUCACAUUGUAGUUUUCAGGAUACAGAAUGGUAAGCAUGCUCAUAUUUGAAAGAGUGGACUCCUCCUUGCAGUAAGAGGAGAACUGCCCCCCUUCCCUGUAAGAGAUGUACCUGAAUCUGGGCUUCCUGGUAAGUUGUACAGUGAGGUAGACUGGGUUUCAUAUGGUCAUUUAGAAUUUUUGAGACAUGAAAGCUUAAAGCAACAGACAUCUCUACAUAUCCAAAGCAAACCAUUUUCAUACACGUGGUCAGUUGUUCAACCAGUUGCAAGCUCCCUGAUUAGACCCCAGUAUGUUACUUACAUACAAACUUCACAACUGGAAGAUAGCAUUGCUUUUAUAAAAGACAUCACAGUCAGACAAAGAUUGACUUCAAAUCCUUCUCAGGAAUGCAUCAGGAAUGCAAUGAUAUAUUACAUAUACUGUACAGGGAGAUAUAACUGAAUUUGUAAGUGUGUAAAUGUAAUGGAAGCCUACCCAUGUGAGAAAAAAAUCUAUAUUUGGCAUUUGCUAUAGUGUGUGAGUCACUCGCCAUUGGUAUGUUUGGCAGAAACUCAAAAGCAGGAAGGAGAGUUGCAUUAAAUAAAAGGUAGGAAAGGAAUGAGGGAGAGGUGGAAGGAUGGAGGGGCAGAUGGAUGAAUAGGCAGAGGGAUGGAGGGACAGAGGGACAGAGGGACAGAGGGAGGGACUAAGGGAGAGAUUGAAUUAGAAACUUCAAGUGUGUUCUGCCCUUAUGACUGGUGAGUGUUGGCAUGGGGAGGUAUCUCUUAUAGUUCAUUAGUUGAAAGCAGGAGUAGAACUCAGGGAGUUCAGAAAUCACUGCCCAGACCUUGACCCUCUGGUCUCCUUUUCUGUAGAUCUUACAGUGUGUCUUCUGGGUUGUGAUGUGGCUGUACGUGUUGUGAGUCAAUGUCUUAUAGUCCUUUCCUUGAUUCUGUGUACUUAAUCUUUUAUCAUAUGUCUUAGAAGUUUCAGAGCAUAGGGAUGAUAAAAGGAAUGUUUAUUAUUCAGAAGCUUCCAAUAAAUAUGACAGAAGGAAUUGUACAAACACAUAGACAUCUGUAAUGUAAUUCAAGAUGUAUCAUAGAAAGAGCAUAAGGAAGUUCUGAGUAGUGAACUUUUGAAAAUGGCAUCAUUUCAGCAUCUGCCCCAGGGCAGUGGUAUGGCAGGGGCAUGGCUGUUCAACACACAUGCUAUCAAGGAAUCAGAAUCCUCUGUGUGUAACAAAGGAAGAAAGCCCUACCCCCCCCCCCCAAAAAAGGCCCAAUUACUCUCCUAAAGCUACUCAGCAAAUGGCAGGUUGGCAUUAGUUUCGGUGUCUAGAAUUUGAGAAAGGCAGCAUAUGUUCACUUCAGCCUUGAUCCACCAGGGUACCAAGAUGUUAAGAGAGUGAAUGCAAAUUUAAAAGCACAUUCAGUACUUUAAUUCUUGAAGACAAAACUACCCUGUUGUAGAGCAUCAAAAGCUAUCCUUGACUGUUGGAGAUACAGGAAUUGUUGACACCAUGGCAGACAUUCCAUGAUUCUCAUAUCAAAAAGUCGCAUAUGAAAAGGGAAAUGAUCUAAAUAAUCCAACAUCUCUGCCAUGACUUUCUGAUGUCCACAUUCUACCCAUAAGGCUGCCCAGGAGCACUUUGGUUUCUGGUGACUGAGAAUAUCAUGAAGCAGGCACCAGGAACUCUUGAUCUCCAUGGCACUCAUGGAGAUAAAAUUUGAGGACAUAAAUGAGCUGGUUAUUAGAUCAAAAGCUGUGCAUUUGCCUGUUAAGUUUGGACAAACUUCAUGAUGGAUUUAAUAGAAAUUAGUUUAGAUCCAUCCCUAACUUGUCUCUUGAGAGUAGAGAGAGCCAAAUGUACGGUUGUAGGUGAGUAUGGAACAGAAAGCUUUCUUUCCAGACGGAUCAUCAAGAUGGGAGGAUUUUUCCAAAACCCCUUACUGUCUUUCUAGCUAUUAAAAAAAAUUGAAUCAGAAAAGUGGACUGAAAUUUUCUCUGCUUUCAAGGCUACUGUUCAGUGGGCUGGAACAAUCAAUACUGCUGUCUAGAUGCUUAUGACGAAGUAAGAUCCACUUUAACUCCAUAGCACCUUGAAUUGGCAGGACCACAGGAGGAUCAAGGCUGGAGUGUUCAAGAGGCUGGAACGAUCAAUACUGCUGUCCAGAUGCUUCUGAAAAAGAAGAUCCACUUCAACUCCGUAGCCACUUGAAUUGGCAGGACCAGUGAGAGGAUCAUUAAAGUGGAAAAGCCUCUUUGCUUGUCUAGGAUUUACUCUCUGAUCUCUAAAGAAUUCUAGGAAUUGGAAAUUUCAAAAUCAAUAUAUAAAAUAAGUAAACCAGAAGUGUUGCCCAGAGGAAAAAAGUCAGACUCCACAUCAACAGAAACCCAUUUCAAUCGUUGGCAAAGUACGCCACCUAAGAUAAAUUAUCAAAUUGUCGAGUGCAGGCAGCCAUGUAUCACUGAAUAGCAGAAACCACAUCUUAGGCCAUUUCACUGUGUGAGACACCGGAGGGUAUAGCCUUCCCUGCACCUCAGCUACAUACAGCUAGUGCCUGCUGCUGCUCGGCCCAGGACACAAAAAUGUAUGAGGUUAAAUAAAGAUCGUUGUGUACAUAGCAAAAAAAA